AUUGAACGCUGGCGGCAUGCCUUACACAUGCAAGUCGAACGGUAACGGGCCUUCGGGUGCCGACGAGUGGCGAACGGGUGAGUAAUGCAUCGGAACGUACCUUUCAGUGGGGGAUAACGUAGCGAAAGUUACGCUAAUACCGCAUAUUCUGUGAGCAGGAAAGCAGGGGAUCGCAAGACCUUGCGCUGAUUGAGCGGCCGAUGUCAGAUUAGCUAGUUGGUGAGGUAAAGGCUCACCAAGGCGACGAUCUGUAGCGGGUCUGAGAGGAUGAUCCGCCACACUGGAACUGAGACACGGUCCAGACUCCUACGGGAGGCAGCAGUGGGGAAUUUUGGACAAUGGGGCAACCCUGAUCCAGCCAUGCCGCGUGAGUGAAGAAGGCCUUCGGGUUGUAAAGCUCUUUCAGACGGAAAGAAACGCAUCGGUGAAUACCCGGUGUGGAUGACGGUACCGUAAGAAGAAGCACCGGCUAACUACGUGCCAGCAGCCGCGGU
rnacentral:rRNA from 1 species